rnacentral:rRNA from 1 species
UAGGAUAUGGCAAGGCGGAAACGCUGACCCAGCCAUGCCGCGUGCAGGAAAGAAGCGCUCAGCGUUGUAAACUGCUUUUGCCGGGGAAGAACGACUCUUACGCGUAAGAGGAAUGACGGUACCUGGUGAAUAAGCACCGGCUAACUCCGUGCCAGCAGCCGCGGUAAUACGGAGGGUGCAAGCGUUGUCCGGAUUUAUUGGGUUUAAAGGGUGCGUAGGUGGCUUGUAAAGUCCGGGGUGAAAGGCAGUGGCUCAACCACGUGCAGGGCCCUGGAUACUGGCAGGCUGGAGUGUAGGUGAGGCCGGUGGAACGGGUGGUGUAGCGGUGAAAUGCAUAGAUACCAUCCAGAACACCGAUUGCGAAAGCAGCCGGCUAACCUACUACUGACACUGAGGCACGAAAGCGUGGGGAGCAAACAGGAUUAGAUACCCUGGUAGUCCACGCCGUAAACGAUGCGAACUCGCUGUUGGUGAAUUUUCAUCAGCGGCUUAGCGAAAGCGUUAAGUUCGCCACCUGGGGAGUACGCCGGCAACGGUGAAACUCAAAGGAAUUGACGGGA